UGAAACCUGGAGCCUCCACAUGGAUUUGUUAAGGAGGAGAAAAACAAAGUACCUCGAUCUACAACCUACGCCCGAAACAAAAGCAAAGACCAGUGCAAAAAGAAAGCUCACAAGGAAGUAGUAUCAAGACCAGAACCUCAGGCUUACCAGUUAAGUAUUCGAAUACUAAGCUACACCCCAGACCUUGCACUAUCUCAGAAUCAUGACUCGGCCUGACGGACACAAAGGGUGCAUUUGAAACAAGAGUGAACCGUCUCUAAUUAUUAUUCCUGAACCAUAUAUCAUAUGCCAUAAAUUUAUUCUCCUUUUUUUUUGUUUUG